UCAAUCUCUUCAUUUUAGAAAUUGGGCCACUCAGGCAAAGAGAGGGUAAGGUCCUUGCUGCAGACCCCAGAACUAGCCAGUGUCACGUUUGAAAGCUGUCAUCACUCCCUUCUGUCUCGGGGAGGGGGCUGCCUCUUCCCAAGGGCUCCUGGCUGAGAGAGGAAGGCCCUCCUGAGAGGUCAGCCCUUGCUCCUGCUUCACAUCCUCAGUCAAGUCAGCAGGCCAGCAGAAGAUGCCCUUCUCUCUCUUCAGGUCUCAGGCCAAUCUUGCUCUCAAAUGCCUUAGAAGUGACUAUAGACCCCAAAUUAAUGAGUAUUUACAUCAGUUUCAAUUAACAGGAAGUGCAGUUCAAGCUGGCUAGUGUAAUAAAAGUCUCUUGUCUCUCAUACUGGAAAGGUCUAUGGGAAGUGUGGGUUCAGCAUCAUUAAAUCAGAUUCCUGUCUUCCCCACUACACCCCUCCCACUGCCAGCUGUGUCCUCAGGCAGACUUCCUUCCCAGUCACAAGACGGCCACCAGCACACAGGGCCACAGGGGAGCCCCUUUCUUAGCCACCAAACUCAAGUCCUGAUCUUGAUGCUGCCUGGUCAUACCCUGUGGACAAGGGAGCGCCAUGUGGGAAUUGGCUCAGGCCUAGGAGAGAGGGACACGGGUGGCCUGAGCCAGUCUCUACCCUUCAGCCCAGUGGAGAGAGGUGGCUCGCUGCUGCUGCACUUUCUGAAGUCAAAGGCCUGCAAGUGUUCUAGGGCACCAGAGCAAUUUGCAGAGUCAUGGAAAGACUAACCAGGAGCCAGAAUAAGGGGAAGAUUGCCACAGGCCCUGGCUUCCUUGAGGCACAGAAAUGUCCCCAGCAUAGGAGAGAAAGAACCACCUCUUCCAAGGCCUCUCUCAGCAGGGCAUGAAUCCACACCUGGAAGGAGGACUUUGAUCCGCCACUCGGGAAGGAGGGAAGGCCAAGGGAACUGUUACAGGAAUGACUGAGAUACUGGCUGAGGCCUGCCCAGCAGAGCAGGUAUUUGCUGCAGGCCACCACAGGCCUGUGUUGCUGUGAGGGGUUUGCAUACUAGGAUCAGAGCCGAUCGCCCAGGACUGCUGAGGACAGUUCAGCUAGCCCCGGCCAAGUUGUCCUCUCCCCUUGCUCCAUAGAGGGUCAGACCACCCUCUAAAUAAACAUAAAGACAGUCUAUUAAAAGAGAUGCCAAAUGCCAGGCAGCUGUGGAUGUCCUGUUUUCUGGCCCAGCCCUGACUUCACCUGGAGGCCUGCUUGCCAUCAUGUCCUGAAGGGAGUGGAUACAGCCCAGGAGGCAUGGGCACCUCCAAGGAGGAGAGUCGGUGGCAUUGCUCACUGCCUGUGGCUGCUGCCUGCAGGACUCAGCACAUCUGCUGCCCCAGGGGGCCUGGCCCUUUAGCACCUACUGAGGGACCUGUUGGUUGUUUCCAGCUUGGGGCCAUCACAAGUAAAGCUGGCUUGAACGUGCUGCACAGAUUUUUGUGUGAGCGUUAUUUUUUAAUUUAUCUGGAAUAAAUGUCCAAAAUGAUAGCUGGGUAAAGUCUACGCAGUUUUUUUUUUGUUUUUAAGAAACCGCCAAACUAUUUUCCAGAAAGGCUGUGCCAUUUUCCAUUACGACCAGCAAUUAUAAGAGACCCGGUUUCUUCACUUUUCUGUCUGCAUUUGGUAUUGUAAUUAUGUUUUUAUAUUUUGGCUGUUCCAAUAGCAAAAUGUAAAUAAGAAAUUAAACAGAUGAAACAUGAUCUCAUUAUGACUGUAAAUUGCAUUUCCUAUCAGCUAACACUGCUGAACAUCUUUUCAUGUGCUUAUUGGCUUUAUACAUCCUCUUUGGUAAAAUGUCUUUUCAUAUUUUUUGUGUAUAUCAUUGUUGAAUUGUGCUUUUUAAAUACUGGGUUUGAAAAUUCUUCAGGUAUUCUAGAGAUGGGACUGUAGCUUGUCUUUUCAUCCUCCUUAACAAGACCUGACACAGAACAAACGUUUCUGAUUUUUAUGUAAUACAAUGAUCAAUAUUUUUAUUUUAUGAAAACACUUUAGGUGCCAUGUCACAGCUCUUCACUAAGCCCAAGGUCCCAAGGAUUUUCUCUUCUGUUUUCUUCUUCUACGGGUUUUAUAGUUUUACAUUUUACUUUUAGUUCUAUGGUCCAUUUUGAGCUAAUUUUGAUUCAAGAUUAUUUUUCCCCUGUAGAUGCCCAAUUUCUCCCCCACCUAUCCUUGCUUUAUUGAAUGACGUAAUAGUAACAGCAUGAGUGGAUUUCAAAAACAUUAUGUAAAGUUAAAAAGAAGUAGACGUAUAGAAUGUUCUAUAUGUCUAUACAUAUAUAUUCUGCUGUUUGUGGAUUUCACGUAUACGUGUAGACGUAUAGAACCACUGUGUGGUUCCAUGCUGUGAAAUCCACAAACAGCAGAAUUAUGGCAAUAGAAAAC
ensembl:lncRNA